UCUCUCACUGAUAUAAAAAAAGGACUCUCACAUACCAAAGAAAAAAAAAUCACUAUUUUUUCUGAACCUCUCUCACCGACUUCAAAAAGGAAGAAGAAGAAGAAAAUCUCAUAAAUCCAAUUUCACCUAACACCAAAACUCCACCUCCAACUACAACAACCACCGCAUGAAACCUUCCAAAAUCGUUCCCUUCAUUAUAUCAGACCUAACUCAUCACACACACAAUAGAGAGAAAAAAUUCCAAGAAGCUAAUAAUCAACACAGAGGUUCGAAAAUUUUGAAGUGCUUUCAGGAAAAUCAAUUUCACAGUCGGAGAUUGAGAUUCUGAGAACCAAAUCUGGAAACGCUUGAAGCACGCAGGUUUUUGAAGAAAAAUCAAUUAAACACCAAUAAAAAUUCAAAGAUAUAUCCAUAUUCUGAUAUCUCUCUUUCAUAUGUCAUCCCCGUCACUCUCCUUUCCUCGUUUCGAUUCUCGCAAGAACUUCAAUCUGAUCAAUUGUUAGUUUUUUUCAUUUUAUUUCCUAAUUUCUCCAUGAUUAAUAUCAUGAAGCAAAGGCUUAUAUAUUUUAUCUUAUUUUAUGAUCCAUUAUCAUAUGAAUUUAGAUGGAUUAUUAGACUUUUAUUCUUUAUUUUAGGUCCAUGAACCAUUUUGACACUCUUAGAUGUUGUAAAUAUUUUGUGAACGGUUGCUAUUCGAUUUCGAUGUAAUCCAUGUGAUAUUGUAAAUAUAAUAUUGGGUUGUUGCCA